AGAGUUUGAUUCUGGCUCAGGAUGAACGCUGGCGGCGUGCUUAACACAUGCAAGUCGAGCGGAGCGUAUCAGCGGAAUUUUUCGGAAGGAAGCGGAUACGCUUAGCGGCGGACGGGUGAGUAACGCGUGGGCAACCUGCCUCAUACGGGGGGAUAACAGUUAGAAAUGACUGCUAAUACCGCAUAAGCGCACGAGGGCCGCAUGGCCCGGUGUGAAAAACUCCGGUGGUAUGAGAUGGACCCGCGUCUGAUUAGCUUGUUGGCGGGGUAACGGCCCACCAAGGCGACGAUCAGUAGCCGACCUGAGAGGGUGGCCGGCCACAUUGGGACUGAGACACGGCCCAAACUCCUACGGGAGGCAGCAUUGCCCAAUAUUGCACAAUGGGGGAAACCCUGAUGCAGCAACGCCGCGUGAGUGAAGAAGUAUCUCGGUAUGUAAAGCUCUAUCAGCAGGGAAGAAAGAAGACGGUACCUGACUAAGAAGCCCCGGCUAACUA
rnacentral:rRNA from 1 species